CUACAACAACACCACUCCAGAAAAACAGUAUUUUCUGAAAACGCUGGUUGGAGUUACCUUUUAGAGCAACUCUGUUCAAUGUUUAUUUUGCAGUAUUUUAUUAAAAUCUUUAAAAAGUCAAUAAAAUAUUUAGAAACUUACUCUUAUUUACUACGUUAGAAGUUCCAAUGCAGUCAAAAGAUGUGAUUAAAGGCUUCUGAUGGAUUAGGCACCAGGAGUUUAAGAAUGGAUAUAUACCCGCUCUGCCGGUGACCUUCUCCUGUCUGCUGCU